rnacentral:rRNA from 1 species
GAUGAACGCUAGCGAUAGGCCUAACACAUGCAAGUCGAGGGGCAUCACAUGAAGUAGCAAUACGGAUGGUGGCGACCGGCGCACGGGUGAGUAACACGUAUGCAACCUGCCUUCAACAAGGGGAUAACCCGUUGAAAGACGGACUAAUACCCUAUAACACAGGGGUCCCGCAUGGGAAUAUUUGUUAAAGGACAACCGGUUGAAGAUGGGCAUGCGUUCCAUUAGCUAGUUGGCGGGGUAACGGCCCACCAAGGCAACGAUGGAUAGGGGAACUGAGAGGUUUAUCCCCCACACUGGUACUGAGACACGGACCAGACUCCUACGGGAGGCAGCAGUGAGGAAUAUUGGUCAAUGGACGCAAGUCUGAACCAGCCACGUCGCGUGAAGGAAGACGGCCCUACGGGUUGUAAACUUCUUUUGUAAGGGAAUAAAGUGGGCCACGUGUGGCUUUUUGCAUGUACCUUACGAAUAAGGAUCGGCUAACUCCGUG